CAGGCUUAACACAUGCAGUCGAGGGGCAUCAGGAAGAAGCUUGCUUUCUUUGCUGGCGACCGGCGCACGGGUGAGUAACACGUAUCCAACCUGCCCUUUACUCGGGGAUAGCCUUUCGAAAGAAAGAUUAAUACCCGAUAGUAUAAUGAUUCCGCAUGGUUUCAUUAUUAAAGGAUUCCGGUAAAGGAUGGGGAUGCGUUCCAUUAGGUUGUUGGUGAGGUAACGGCCCACCAAGCCUUCGAUGGAUAGGGGUUCUGAGAGGAAGGUCCCCCACAUUGGAACUGAGACACGGUCCAAACUCCUACGGGAGGCAGCAGUGAGGAAUAUUGGUCAAUGGGCGCUAGCCUGAACCAGCCAAGUAGCGUGAAGGAUGAAGGCUCUAUGGGUCGUAAACUUCUUUUAUAUAAGAAUAAAGUGCAGUAUGUAUACUGUUUUGUAUGUAUUAUAUGAAUAAGGAUCGGCUAACUCCGUGCCAGCAGCCGCGGUAAUACGGAGGAUCCGAGCGUUAUCCGGAUUUAUUGGGUUUAAAGGGAGCGUAGGUGGACUGGUAAGUCAGUUGUGAAAGUUUGCGGCUCAACCGUAAAAUUGCAGUUGAUACUGUCAGUCUUGAGUACAGUAGAGGUGGGCGGAAUUCGUGGUGUAGCGGUGAAAUGCUUAGAUAUCACGAAGAACUCCGAUUGCGAAGGCAGCUCACU
rnacentral:rRNA from 1 species